ACCUAAAGAAGAAAAUAAAAGAUCACAACUCCAAGGUCUGCUUUGGAUUUUCAAAUUCAGCCCGCACAACAGGUCACGCGUGUGUGGAAGAAGAAUGGCGUUGUCCCGUGCGGGCUCAUAAAGCAGGGAAAGACCAGUGAACCCGGGUCACGUGGAGGCAGCGUCAGCGCAGCUCUCUGAAAAUGGAACGUGCGAACGGACACAGGAGAAGGAAGUUCAAUCCCAGGAAGAAACAGUGGUUCCAUUUUGUUAACUGGCCAAAUUAACUGAAGAUGGCAGACCUUUUCCGAUUCUAGGAUUUCACAGUUACACAGCGCCCUUCCUUCCUGGACGGCGUGAGCACAGGAGGAGCCCCGCGAGCCCGCAGCGUGGCCUCCUGCGGACAGAGACAGGCCUCUACUGGGCUGUGUCCGCGCGCAGGAGCCGGUCCAUCUCGUUGCCCUGUGGAAAAUGGCACUCUGAUCCCAGACCAUGAUGCCAUUUGGACUGAGGUGACGAUUUCACCUGCGGGCCUGGAAGCAGGGUUUUCUUCAGAUGUGCAGAUCCUUCAGGAUCGUCUUCUUUAUGGUCUCUCAUGUUAUUUUCAGGAACAAAGGCCUAAAGAUCGGCUGAACUGGGUCCACUUCAAUACCACCGAAAGGGCGCACAGAUUAUGCGAAUGAUACAAAGGAUACUCUGUUGUGGUUUCCCUGAGGCACUACUAAAACGCAGGGAGACUGGAUUUCAGAGACAACACUACAGACCCAUCCACCGCAGAGCUAAUGUCCUCGCCCAGAAGGCAGGCGCGCUGCCUCGGCCCCUUCUGACCUUCACACGGUUCUGUUUAUCCUGUGUAAAUGCAACAUACGAAUAACGUUCCCGACGGUGACCAAGGGUAGGAAAAAUGUACAAAGGAGACAAAAAUAGUUACAUUACGUGAUCUCUAAAGUCAUUCCCAACUCCAAUCAUCUAAGAAAAGUCAGAUUAAAAUCUUCACGUCCACCCCUCCCUCCUCAGGCGUGACCGCGGGCAAGUUCCCUUCUGGGAAGAACACCUUCCAAGGACUGGCUGAGCCCAGAGCCAUCGCUCACCUGACCGGGGUCACUGUAGUCACACGCUUUAAGCACCACCAGGCCUCCUUUCUGACUCGGGCGGCCCUGGGCCACCAGACACUUGUUGGUCUGGAGGUGAUAGAGCUGUAAAAGGAGAGAUCACUCUUGUCAGAAGAUGCCUUAGAUGCUAGAUAAGGAAGUUUUAGAUGAAAUGUGAAUGGAUUACUCCAAAGGUAUGAAUUUCAAAGGUCCUAAUAAGCAUUUUUUUAUUCCUUAAUUCUAGCUUCAGUACAUAAGGGUGUCACGGUAGACUUUAAGGUUAAAGGCAGUUUUAACAGUAUAUGCAGGCAAUGCCAAGUAGAAAUUCUAAAAAUAUAGGUUUACUAAUCUAUUCUAGGGGAGGAAGGAAAUUAAAACCUCUCUGCCCUCAAGAACCUUCAAAUGAAAUCAAGGAAAUAAGACUAAAGGUACCGACCAGACAGCACGUAACUGAAUGAAAUAUACAGGCUAAACUGGAGGGAGACACACAUCGGGAACAGCACAGGGGAGACCCAGAAAAGCAGCAAAGAGUAUGCAGUUUGGGUAAAGGGCUACAACUACAUCGGCAUACGCUGUGUUUUUACUUUAAAAACAAAAGGUGGUUUUGUUUUCAUAAAGAGGACAAGGGGAAAGCUCUAGGCUUACUUUAGCCACUGAGGAACAGUCGGCAUCACGAAAGAUCCUGACAAGUACCUUCUUCUGAACACAGAAGAGAAAACUGUGCAACAGUCAGAGUAGCUACACUUUCAGAAAGCAAAUUCUAAGAAAUGAUUCAGGAAAAAGGUAUGACUUUACAGCUAGACCCCUAAACUUUAAAAGUGAUGUAAAACUGUGAAGAAAUUCCUUAAGAAAUAAAAGAGAACGGGGGCGCC